rnacentral:rRNA from 1 species
CAGUAGCCGCGGUAAUACGUAGGGUGCAAGCGUUAAUCGGAAUUACUGGGCGUAAAGCGUGCGCAGGCGGCUUGUUAAGACAGAUGUGAAAUCCCCGGGCUCAACCUGGGAAUUGCAUUUGUGACUGGCAGGCUAGAGUAUGGGAGAGGGGGGUGGAAUUCCGGGUGUAGCAGUGAAAUGCGUAGAUAUGCGGAGGAACACCGAUGGCGAAGGCAGCCCCCUGGGCCAAUACUGACGCUCAUGCACGAAAGCGUGGGGAGCAAACAGGAUUAGAUACCCCUGUAGUCCCUGUCUCUUAUAC